AAACAGCUUGCUGUUUCGCUGACGAGUGGCGGACGGGUGAGUAAUGUCUGGGAAACUGCCUGAUGGAGGGGGAUAACUACUGGAAACGGUAGCUAAUACCGCAUAAUGUCGCAAGACCAAAGAGGGGGACCUUCGGGCCUCUUGCCAUCGGAUGUGCCCAGAUGGGAUUAGCUUGUUGGUGGGGUAACGGCUCACCAAGGCGACGAUCCCUAGCUGGUCUGAGAGGAUGACCAGCCACACUGGAACUGAGACACGGUCCAGACUCCUACGGGAGGCAGCAGUGGGGAAUAUUGCACAAUGGGCGCAAGCCCGAUGCAGCCAUGCCGCGUGUAUGAAGAAGGCCUUCGGGUUGUAAAGUACUUUCAGCGGGGAGGAAGGGAGUAAAGUUAGUACCUUUGCUCAUUGACGUUACCCGCAGAAGAAGCACCGGCUAACUCCGUGCCAGCGGCCGCGGUAAUACGGAGGGUGCAAGCGUUAAUCGGAAUUACUGGGCGUAAAGCGCACGCAGGCGGUUUGUUAAGUCAGAUGUGAAAUCCCCGGGCUCAACCUGGGAACUGCAUCUGAUACUGGCAAGCUUGAGUCUCGUAGAGGGGGGUAGAAUUCCAGGUGUAGCGGUGAAAUGCGUAGAGAUCUGGAGGAAUACCGGUGGCGAAGGCGG
rnacentral:rRNA from 1 species